CAAGGUUCCAUUUCUACAGGGGGCCAAGUCAAUGGUACAGGAAGAAGAACGAUCCCACGAGGAAGGCGGAGAUGAACGUCGAUGGAACGAGCACGAGUCGAAGGAAAAGGUGGGGAAGUCGUCGACCGUUAUGCGGCGUGUUCAGCUUCGAAAGGUUCGUAACCUGUUCACCAGCCGCCGUUCCAAUCUCGACAGAUCCAGCAUGCGGACGUCCGUGCAAGGAGCAAGGUCACGGUCAGUGUUACACCUUCCUUCGUGUGGCUGUCUCAUCGACCACGAGGAUUCCCCUGCGUUCUCCAAGUGAUCAAAAAAGCGUUGAACGCUGGCCUCUUUUCUCGUUUCGAGUUUUCUGGGCCAUCGAACUGAACGCCAGUGAUCUCGAGGAGGAACCAAAAGUCGAGUUCCUUAGUUUCGUUGGCAUCGAAAGGACUUUCUUCAAGGAAGUGUUUCUUCUUCGAAGCAUCGUCUUUUAAAUUUUUAAUUAUUUGUGAAUUGUUUGUGAGUUCUUAGCGUGAUCUAUUCGGUUGAUUCUUGGAGGAGCUGGAUCUCGGAAGCUAGAAGACUAAUGUACGCGGAACAGUGGGACACUUUUCUCAAGUUUUGUUAGAAUUCCUUCUCUUAGUAUCGAUGCUUCGAAAUACAGCGUUUAGGCUAUGAUAGAGGAGUUAGCAGAGUGCAUGUAUAUGAAGAAAGAAAAGUGACCACAGGACAUUUUCGAAUUAUUCUGGAAUUGUCGAUGAGUUUUUAGUGUGAUCUAUUCAGUUGGAGGAGCUAGAUCUCUGAAGCUAGAAGACUGAUACGUGGAACAGUGGGACACUUUUUUCAAGUUUUGUUAGAAUUCCUUCUCUUAAUAUCGAUGCUUCGAAAUACAGUGUUUAGGCCAAGAUAGAAGAGUUAACAGAGUGCAAGUGUACGAAGAAAGUAACCCAACCAGGCCAACUUUUCAAUUAUUUAUGAAUUAUUGACGAGCUCUCAGUGCAACUUGCUAGGUUGACACUUGGAAGAGCUAGAGCACUGGUAGACUAGUGAAGUUAUUCAAAUUUCUGUCUCGAAAAUCGCCAUUCCAUUCAAGAUAAAAAAUCUAUCAAACUACAAGUGUACGAUGAAAGAAAGGUGACAAGAAAGCUAAUGUAUAUCGAACUCAGCGGACAGAGAAAGCCUCUCGAAGAGAGUUCGAUCGAAAAUUCUAGAUGUUUAAGUGAAUGGGAGAUCGUACAAGAACUUCAUAGAUAUCCUACUAGAUUCCAUAUAUUUCAAAUAGCCGAACCAUUCGGAAGAAUGUACUCUCUGUGACGAAUCACGUGGACAACGGAAGGGGUUGAAAGCAAACGUGACUGAGCAAUGUAAAAGCCGGGAAAUCCUCUUUCCGAAGGAUGGAUACGUGUAACGUCUAAGUGCAUCGAUUACUCAGAGGAAACGAAGCUUCUGGAGUGCACGUUAUCUCCUUAUCUCCCAGGAAAGUAGGUGAUCGUUCAGGGUAAUUACAGGAGAAUAAAAUGGGUAUCGAGAGCGUUUUAGCAGGAGGUCUGACCUCUGCAUCGACAGGACUUUCAUGGUUCUUUCCGGUCCUCGCGGCCGCGCUCGUCUACUUCCAAUAUGAAGUUAUGGACAACGAAGCGCCACCGAUUAAUAUACCAUCCGAGGUGCUCCUGCCAUCCUACGAUUUUAUUGUGAUAGGAGCCGGUUCUGCAGGAGCCGUAGUAGCGAGUCGCCUCUCAGAGAUUGAAAACUGGAACGUGCUUCUUUUGGAAGCUGGAGGCGACGAAACCGAAAUCUCGGAUGUGCCUCUUCUAGCUGGCUAUUUGCAGCUUAGUCAGCUCGAUUGGCAAUACAAAACCGAACCAGACGAAGGUGCUUGUCGAGCGAUGGAGAACGGUCGGUGCAACUGGCCGCGAGGCAAGGUGAUCGGAGGCAGCAGCGUCCUCAACUACAUGCUCUACCUUCGCGGCAACAAACGCGACUACGACAUCUGGGAGCAACAAGGUAACCCAGGCUGGGGUUCCAGGGAGGUCCUCUACUACUUCAAGAAAUCCGAGGACAACCAGAAUCCCUACUUAACGCACACCCCGUACCACUCGACUGGCGGUUACCUCACCGUUCAGGAAGCGCCCUGGCACACGCCUCUGGCCGCAGCGUUCGUCCAAGCUGGCCAAGAGAUGGGCUACGAGAAUCGCGACAUAAAUGGCGAGAAACACACGGGCUUCAUGAUCGCCCAGGGUACCAUCAGACGUGGAAGUCGUUGCUCCACGGCCAAGGCUUUCCUGCGACCAGCCAGGCUGCGCAAGAACCUCCACGUCGCCAUGCACUCCCACGUCACCAAGGUCCUGAUAGACCCAAAGUCCAAACGCACCUAUGGAGUGGAGUUCGUCAGGGAUGGAAAGGUGAUUCGUAUACGCGCUAAAAAGGAAGUAAUCGUGUCUGGAGGAUCGGUAAAUUCCCCUCAAAUAUUGAUGCUGUCAGGAUUAGGACCUAGGGAACAUCUUCAGCAACAUGGGAUUCCUGUGAUUCAAGACCUCAGAGUGGGUCACAACCUCCAGGACCACGUGGGUCUGGGUGGUCUCACGUUCAUGGUCAACCAGGAGAUCUCCAUGGUGGAGAAGAGGCUGCACAGCGUCCAGGCUGUGAUGCAGUACGCCAUCUUUGGCGAUGGUCCCUUGACGGUUCUAGGAGGUGUCGAAGGAUUAGCAUUCGUCAAUACGAAGUACGUGAAUGUUUCUGAUGAUUUCCCGGACAUUGAGCUGCACUUUAUAUCGGGUUCGACUAAUUCUGACGGGGGCAGACACAUCAGGAAGGUCCAUGGACUCACUAAGCGAUUCUAUGACGAUGUUUAUGGGCCUAUCAAUGACAAGGAUGUUUGGAGCGUGAUACCUAUGCUCCUGAGGCCUAAGAGCAGGGGGUUUAUCAAGCUACGCAGCAAGAACCCGUUCGAUCAUCCGUUGAUCUAUCCGAAUUACUUCAAGGAGCCCGAGGAUGUCGCUACUCUAGUGGAGGGAGUCAAGAUUGGGGUUGCUCUGAGCAGAACUUCAGCGUUCAGACGUUUUGGGAGCGAGCUGAACUCGAAGAAGUUCCCUGGGUGCAAGCAUAUACCUAUGUACAGUGAUCUCUAUUGGGAAUGCAUGAUCAGGCACUAUUCUGCGACCAUUUACCACCCUGUGGGGACCUGCAAGAUGGGGCCAUACUGGGACCCAGAGGCUGUCGUGGAUCCUCAGCUUAGAGUCUAUGGAGUUAGCGGUCUUAGAGUCAUCGAUGCUUCUAUCAUGCCAAAUCUCGUCAGUGGGAAUACGAAUGCACCUGCUAUCAUGAUUGGGGAGAAGGGGUCUGAUAUGAUAAAGGAGUUCUGGCUGAAGAGGAGGGGUCGAGGGUGAAUUGCGUUGGCGGUGAAAUGGAGUGAGAUAAUACAGAGAGUUCAGAGAAGAUUCAGAGUUUAGAGAAUGUAUUCAGAGUUCAAACAAGAUUCAGAGUCAAACAAGAUUCAGAGUCAAACAAGAUUCAGAGUUCAAACAAGAUUCAGAGAUUAGAGUUCAAAGAAGAUUCAGAUAUGGAUUAGGAGUCCAGCUCUAACUCUAGACUAGAAGUUCCGGUAUUCUAGGAUGUAGAAAGAUGAUUCACAGGGUGAAAUGAAGACAAUGUUCUCUGAGCUCCGAGUGAAACACUUGUAAAUAUUGAAAUGUGUUACUCCAGGAGGCUAGGAAACUGACGUAUUUGGAGAUCUGAUGGAUCAGGAUUAUAGUGUUGAUGGGAAGGUGAUGUAUCAUAGAAAUUGGGGUUGAUGAUGCUCUAUUGGAAUGAUAUACUGAAGUCUGGUUACCUUUUUUAGAUCUAAGAUUCUGAAAUUUUUGUGGACACUGUGUGGUUACAACGAUAACUAUUUAUAAACACUGGUGACUCUACAGUAGGCUGUAUGUGUACAUAGAAAGAUGAAGUGUAGUAAUAAUUGUAGUAAUAUGAUACUCUUAGUUUAAGUGUAUAUGUCAUGAUUGUAAUAGAGAAAAAAAACAAUUUUUAUAUAACAGGACCCUGUACAUCCUGAAGAAUUAGGAAAUUAUUCAUCAGGAUAGUUACUUUAUUUGAUGUUGUUACAGAUAAAGCACUACCCGUGACUUCUACAAUAAAAGAGAAUACGAAAUAAAGGUCUUACACCUCCUUUUAUACAGCAAGUUUUUAUCGUGAAUUAUUAAACAUAAUUUUUAUUUGUUUGAUAAGCCUACCUGACUAAUCCGAUUAUAUAUGGAAAAACACUAUAUUCAUGCAACUGCGACAAAAAUCCAAAAGACUCGUGAAACACAGAUUAAAGAUACUUAAAUACUUACACAAAAUCUUAAUGUUUCUCUCUUACAUGAAGCAAUCAGAAAUAUGUCAACACAGACAAGCUGACAUUGCAAUGUUAUCAAAAAUAUCAUGUUUCUUUAAGUUGCUUAUUUAUCUUAUUACACAACUUCUUUUUGAAAAUGUUACCAUUGGCGUACAAGUUAUCUUUUUGAGAAAACAUUGCAAUUUCACUUUAUACGAUGAGGUAAUCUAUGUUCACAUAUUCUUCAUGCAUUGAGCCAAUUUAUUUCGAACAUAUCAGCUCAUCAUGGAGGUAUAAACCCAUCUUCCUUUACUUCAAGAUUAAAAUAAUCCUGGUGUACAUGUAGCUUGUUAAAUGUGUGUGUUCCUUA